rnacentral:tRNA from 1 species
GCCGGCAUAGCUCAGAGGUAGAGCAGCGGUCUUGUAAACCGCAGGUCGUCGGUUCGAUUCCGACUGCCGGCUCCA